rnacentral:lncRNA from 1 species
CACUUGCACACUAGUGUCUCACACAUGCGCACUAGCGCCGGUCACAGGGAGAUGCAGGGGUGGGCUGGAGGCGCUGCGGCCGCGCUGCGGUUGUACAAUGGUGACAAUGAAUAGCACCUUUUAUUUGGUGUGUGGAAGGUGUGCAGAAGAGGGGGUAGUCUUAUACGGCGAGUACAUAACAAACUCUAUAUUUUGAGUGGAAAUGUUGGGGGGGUCAUCUUAUACACCAGGAAAUAUGGUGUCUUUAUACCAGUUCACAAUGUCAGCAUCUCCAAUUUGUUCUUUUAAACUUCUUCCUCUGGGACAAAGGAGUGUUCUGAUCAGCUUCAACUGUGUACCCAUCUGUCUUUGUUCAAUGUCUGUGGAGAAUUCCUGGCCUUAGUUGCUCCCACCCAUGCCAAGAAGGAGAAAGGAGCGAGUUGUUUCCAUUCUUCUCUUAAUAAUGUCUAGGUUUGGUUACUAGUGUUGCGUGUCAUCAUGUUACCAAGAGCUGUGGAACUUCCGUAUAAUGCUCUGAAGUAUACACAUGUGCAUGCUGCUGCUGGGCUUUAUAUAUACCCACACAUUUAGAAAUGUAAGAACACGUGCCCUAUGACUCACGCCGGCUCCAUCGUGCCAGGAAGCGGUAAAAGGAGGAAAUGACUGUUUGGGCCUUUUCUUCACUCGCCGAUGCCCGGCAUGCUGCACGCCCAGCGCUCUGGAGCACCCGCCAUGAAGCUGAUCCUGUUGCUUUCCCUUGUGACCCUUGCAGCCACUGCCGAUGUGGAAGGAAGCACAACGUCAGCCAUUGGAUACAAGCAGGACAAUGCAGAUGAAAACACAACAGAACCCUCUUUGAUUUCAACACACCAAAGAAAAGAGAGGUGUCUGCACUAUCAGCUUCAGUUCCUCUGUCUCAAGCUGCUGAUCCUUCUAACCAUCUCUUCCUCCUUUCUCUCCUCCUCUGGUAAGGCAGAGUGGCCUGAAGAUGCAAAUACGGAGUCAAACUUCCAGCAAGAGGAUGCACCAACCAAUGGUAGGUACUCAAGAAAAGCUUUGUGCUGGAAUCCUUCCAUAAUGAUAGCAGUCUGCACCAUCAGCUUCAGUUCCUCUGUCUCAAGCUGCUGAUCCUUCUAACCAUCUCUUCCUCCUUUCUCUCCUCCUCUGGUAAGGCAGAGUGGCCUGAAGAUGCAAAUACGGAGUCAAACUUCCAGCAAGAGGAUGCACCAACCAAUGGUAGGUACUCAAGAAAAGCUUUGUGCUGGAAUCCUUCCAUAAUGAUAGCAGUCAGUCUCAAUUUUUCAAGCGCGUGCCCCCUGCAUAGCCA